UCCUUCCCAAGAGCUGCUAUCACUGGGAGAAAAAUGUACAUCUUUAGGCCCAGCCCACUGGGUGCCUGCAUUUUUCCAGCAGCCCUCGAGUCCUGUGGUGUUGCUAGUUAUUUUAAUUGAGUGACACACAAGGUGGGUAUGAAUGAAUUUUACAGCCAAUUAGGGCUAAGCAUGGAUUGUACAGGAAAGAGAGUCUUUUUAGUGCAAAUUUAUGGUCCACUCAAGACACAUAACUUAUGACAGGACUAGUAACCGCAGCUGAGCAGGCUUCUUUCCGGAGCCUCUUGUCCUCUAAACGGGUUUUUCUGGACACUUGCAGUAGUGUGCACUUGAGGAACGAAUUAAGACCCGUAAACAAGGAUGAAAGCCCCCGCCCCGCAGACUUCAGCUCCUCCUCCAUGAAGGACGCCGCCUGGGAGGUGAGUCCAGGCCGGGCCAGGGAGGGCCUCCUGUGGGAAGGUGCAUUUUCACCUUACAGCCGGGAAGUAGACAGCUGCGUCACAGUUUCACUCAUGCCGGUCUCUUCCUGUGCACAUUCAAUGUUAACAUUAUUCUGGCAAAAGCCUUGCUGCAGAUAGUCUCUCCGGUCCCUCCUACAUCUCUUUCCAGAAGACAGUUUAAAAGGACACAUUUCAUCACCUCUCAGAAGGGGUUAACAUCACAGAAUUCCAAGUCUGAGGGUGGAGCCCUGAUCCUGAGAAGGUUUUGUUGAGUUCGGGACAGUAUUUCUUUACCCAUCCUUCAUGAAGAUAAAAAAUGAGGCAAAAUAGACACUAAAAUGGUCUCUGACAUCUCCUCAUGCCACCAGACAAGGAGUAACCAUGGUAACAAGAAGCCUAGAAAAAUUGGGGAAUGAGGAAGACCAGGAAUGAGAGCUCCCCUCAGCCCUGGGGGGACCUGAGUGUCCACAGCUGAGCCUUCUCUGCUUCCCUUUUCUCUUCUGGAUUCUGAUGGAGGAUAUUUUCAUCUUCCUCCCAAAAUCAUCAGAAAGCAUAAGGACAUAUAUAAACCGCUUUGCAAAAAGAGAGUGUAUGGAAUAAAAGAGAAAAUGAAGAAGAGGAGAAAGGCUGGAGUGCAAUGGUGUGAUCUCAGCUCACUGCAGCCUCAACCUCCCUGGCUCAGGUGAUUCUCCCACCUCAGCUUCCUGAUUAACUGGGAUUACAGUAAUGGUGAAAUUGCCGGUAAUCGCUAAGUAAAAACCACUGAAGAACAGGACAGAAGCCAAUGACCACCUCACCUCCACCGAGUGCCCUGCAGAAAAAGGAAAUGGAAAUCCUUCCUGUUAUUCUCCGCGUCCCUUCGUAGAAGGCUGCCUGAGAGGUCAGCACAGGAGUCCUCUAAGUGCCCUGCAGAGAACACGGGUCUCGGAGCCGGACAAACCUAAAUUUUGAAACCCACUUUGAGUUUGAACUUGGCUGUGGGAAAGUUACACAAUCGCUCUAAGCCUCUGUUUUCUCAUCAGUAAAACAGAGAGGGGUUGCUUGUGUGAGAAGUGGCCGCUGCCAAUCAUCUGCGUGUCCUUCACUCUCCCAGGGGCCAUGGGUCUGUAUUCUACACAUGUGGGAUCUUCCUCUGGACCCUUCGGACAUGGUCCACACGCUGCCCUCAGGAUCUGCUGGGGUCUGCAUGGGGGGUGAGACGUGAACCCCAACCACGUUCACCACAGAGAGGAAACUGGGGGGAUGGAGGGGGGGACAAGGCCAGGUCACCUUCAGGUGCCGCCCGCCAGCAAGGCGGUUUGCACCCGGCUGAAUGAGCUUUAAAAAAGACAGUUUUUUCUGUAGUUUAGAAUCAUGGUUUCACUAAAUGGUGAAAUAAUUUUAUGCCACUUCCCCUACUAAUUACCAUCUCAUUGUUAUUAGAAAGGAUGGUUUCCUUGAAGUCUAGAAAAUUUUGUUCCAGUCCAUUUCAACGGUGCAGGAGAAACGUGGCUUCCAUUCCGAGGAAGACGGCGACACCUAGUGACCGUUCCCUCGCGGUGCGAUGGCCUCACACCUGUGCGGCGGGUCGUCCGGGGCGUAGGGUGCUGCGGCCUUGCGGUCUUCCCUGCGCUGCAAGGCAGGGCAUGGUGGCAGAUUAACACCUGGAUGAACACGGGCAGGUCAGGAGACAAAUAAAACCCAGAGGUCUUUGAAACUUCAAAAUCCCGUAGGGUGUGUGACCCCAGUGAGCCCCACGCUACAUCCAGCGAGAACCGAGAAGUGAUGGUGCAGACAUUCUUGGGUCCCCCAGACAGAACACACCGGGAGUUACUGCCUCUUUCUCAUCCCGAGUCCUCCUGACUUUCCCCAGCACCCAUCGUGGCUGCAGCCAGGACACAGGUAAAUGUAAUUUCCCUCCCCUUCCAUCCUCGCUUUCACAUCGGUGUGAUUGACUGAGGGCCUGCAGACUCUCUCCACGUGCGGGUGCCCUGCAGCCUGACACACAAAUGCGUUCAUCCUUCCCCUUUAUCCUGACCCCGAACUAAUGACGCAGCUUCCUGAGACACAGAGGAUGCUUCUCCUCGUCCCCCCUCGCGCUCUGAAGUGGGAAAAGAUGUGUUCCAUCUGUUCUGGAAUUUUCACUGUAAAGAAGAGAAUGAAUUUUAACUGUGUUUUUGACAUAUCCCUAAACAAGAAGUGGUUUAUAGAGUGAAACCAUUUUCCCUUCAUCUAAAAUUUAAAAAAAAAAAAAAAGAGAGAGAAAAGUGCAAGACUGAAGAUGUGUGUUGAGCGGGGUGAGGAAGCGUGGGGGACUCGGCGCUGGAGGAGCCCCGGGUGUGUUUAGGGUUUGUGGUCAGGGGCCCUGGGCACCAGGUCCAGUCUGAAGCACCCGGGGGGAUGGACGAUGUUUGUGUAAGAGAGGGACAAAGGGAUGGCAGGGUGGCCAAGCAGAGACGCGAUUCCCUCUGUGCCCUUCCUGGACCAGCUUUGUAUUCUAACAGCAACGUCUCUGUUCUUGGGAAGAGCUCCUCGGUGAUUACCUGCCCGCCCCUUGUCUCCUCUUAUUCCCGCUGCCACAGGGCAGGGCCGCCCAGCUCCAGCUCAGACACACACCUGCUCCAACUGCUGUGCUGGUCACAGGCCCAGAGCACCACGUGUCCUCUGGGGUCUGUGUGGUCGGCGCCGUGCGUGGGACCACUGUGAGUGACCCUCCUCUUGUGUCACAGAGCCACUGUACCCGUGUGCACCUGUGCUCUGAGACCUGGAUACCCCUGGAAGGACAGACACCGAGGACCCGAGUGCACUGGAGUCCCGCUCCCACAGAUCCUGCUGCUGGGAGAACUGUCAGCCAGGAACGGGACUGCGGUGGGGAAUUCCUUCUGUCAACACACUUUCUAAUCUAAGCUCCAGACUCCACUUCCAGACUAGCACAGGCUUUUUCCCCCACAUCUCCUUCUCUGCAGCCGGGGCUCCUGCCGGGUCUGCGGAGCCCAGAGCCAUGCUCUCUGCCGACUCCAUCUCCAGAUGCCUGCCCCGGCACCCACGCUGUUGCCAGGACACCAGUGAACCCAGACAGGGUGAGCAGGUUGCAGCAGGGUACCGGGAGGAAUGCCCGGCUGGCCCAUGUCUUGAAAUCAGUCUCAUUGAACAAUCCGGGAAAGAGAUGACCUAGCCUAUUCUAAGGCUAUCGAUGUGAAUUGGAUUCUUCCAUUUCCCCUGAAUUCUCUGAUUAAAAUGAUAAUUAUGCAAUA
rnacentral:lncRNA from 1 species